AUUCUGGUUGAUCCUGCCCAGUAGUUAUAUGCUUGUCUCAAAGAUUUAAGCCAUGCAUGUCUAAAGUACACACGAAAUUAAAAGUGAAACCGCAAAAGGCUCAUUAUAUCAGUUAUGGUUCCCUUAGAUCGUUAACAGUUACUUGGGAUAACUGUGGAUAAUUCUAGAGCUAAUACAUGCAAUUAAAACACGGACCGUUAUGGGACGGUGUGCUUUUAUUAGGCUAAAACCAAGUCGAUCGUAAGAUCAGUUACAUUGGUUGAACUCUAGAUAACAUGCAGAUCGUAUGGUCUUGUACCGACGACAGAUCUUUCAAAUGUCUGCCCUAUCAACUUUUGAUGGUAGUAUCUAGGACUACCAUGGUUGCAACGGGUAACGGGGAAUCAGGGUUCGAUUCCGGAGAGGGAGCCUGAGAAACGGCUACCACAUCUAAGGAAGGCAGCAGGCGCGUAAAUUACCCACUCCCAGCUCGGGGAGGUAGUGACGAAAAAUAACAAUACAGGACUCAUAUCCGAGGCCCUGUAAUUGGAAUGAGUACACUUUAAAUCCUUUAACAAGGACCAAUUGGAGGGCAAGUCUGGUGCCAGCAGCCGCGGUAAUUCCAGCUCCAAUAGCGUAUAUUAAAGUUGUUGCGGUUAAAACGUUCGUAGUUGAACUUGUGCUUCAUACGGGUAGUACAACUUACAAUUGUGGUUAGUACUAUACCUUUAUGUAUGUAAGCGUAUUACCGGUGGAGUUCGUUAUAUAUAAUUAAGUACUCUGUAUUUUUUUAUAUAUUCCUCCUAUUUAAAAACCUGCAUUAGUGCUCUUCAUCGAGUGUUAUUGUGGGCCGGUACAAUUACUUUGAACAAAUAUAGAGUGCUUAAAGCAGGCUUCAAAUGCCUGAAUAUUCUGUGCAUGGGAUAAUGAAAUAAGACCUCUGUUCUGCUUUCAUUGGUUUUCAGAUCAAGAGGUAAUGAUUAAUAGAAGCAGUUUGGGGGCAUUAGUCUUACGACGCGAGAGGUGAAAUUCUUGGACCGUCGUAAGACUAAC
rfam:Drosophila persimilis strain MSH-3 cont1.023656, whole genome shotgun sequence.